rnacentral:lncRNA from 1 species
AAAAAAUUAGUUAAAUAUUAGUUAUGAAGAGAAAGAUACUCAUUGCUAGCUUUAUUUAAAUAUGGACAUAGCAUAAGAAAGUACCUCAACUGCUACUGGAUUAAAAUGAGUGAUUCCCCUGACACCACUUUUCUGGCUUUUCCAAAUUUCACUUUUUGAACUACAAAGAAUUCUUCUUCUUUUAGCUGUUUUUCUAACUUUAUUUUUAGAACUAUAAUAUCUUAGGAACUUUCCUUUUCCUUUUUCUUUUGAUUUAUUGUUUUAAAAACUCUGUUUUUAUCAACUUUCUAUAUUCAUUUGAGGAACUACACAUAGAAGUGUAUAUGGUACCUCCAUUUACCUUUAUUAAGUCAUUAAAAGUCACUACAGAGUUGAACACACGAUUAUAGUGUCUGAAGUCCACAAGAUGACUCUGAGAGGGUAUUACCAUCAUUCUUUUCUUCAUGAUCAGAAAUGGGUCUUGCAAUAAUGAACUGGUCGGCAUACAUUGUCCUUCCUGGGAAGAUCUUCUAGAAGAGGACUUGGAAAGAAUUAAAUGACUCGCCCUAAAAAGUGGCUUCGUGAAAGAAAGUGCCUGCAGAGUGUGAAUAAGUUGUCAUACGC